CUUUUUCUUAUCUUCUAAUUAUUUUAUUAAUUUAUUUGAAUUAAUUUUUUCUAAAUGCUUUUUCAUAUAUUCUUUAUAUAUAAUAAUUUAAUUUAAUUGCUAAUAACUAUUAUAUUUCUCAUGCACACUUUGUCUUUUUUCUAAAUCAACUUUAUUUCAUUUUUCAAUUAUAUUAUUUUCUUAUUUUUUAUAAUUAUCGUCUUAUAAAUUUAUCUAAUUACUAAUUAGAUCUACAA
rnacentral:lncRNA from 1 species